rnacentral:rRNA from 1 species
CAGCAGCCGCGGGAAUACGUAGGUGGCAAGCGUUGUCCGGAAUUAUUGGGCGUAAAGGGCUCGCAGGCGGUUUCUUAAGUCUGAUGUGAAAGCCCCCGGCUCAACCGGGGAGGGUCAUUGGAAACUGGGAAACUUGAGUGCAGAAGAGGAGAGUGGAAUUCCACGUGUAGCGGUGAAAUGCGUAGAGAUGUGGAGGAACACCAGUGGCGAAGGCGACUCUCUGGUCUGUAACUGACGCUGGGGAGCGAAAGCGUGGGGAGCGAACAGGAUUAGAUACCCCUGUAGUCCCUGUCUCUUAUAC